rnacentral:rRNA from 1 species
AUGGCGGACGCGUACUGGCGGUACGCCGACCUCCAGCGCCAGCAGCAGCAGCAGCAGAUGCUUCCCCCCUCUGCCGGGGCCCCGCAGUCGUCGCUGGCCGCGGCGGCCGCCGCAGUGCAGCAGCCCCUCAAGCGCCCCCGCCCCGGCGACUACUCCGCCGAUGGACAUGGUGCUCCUGAGAUGGCGGGCUAUUACCCUCGUGAUGAAGAAAGGCCAGGAUAUGCUGCCGUGAGAGAUACACAGGCUCUUAAUGCUUCCUAUGAGCGUUUUCUGCGUACUGGGCAAAUUCAGUCCUAUGGCGCUGGACCUGCUGGUGGAUCUGUCAGGCCUACCGCGGGAGCCAGUGCUGGUGGCUACCAAGCUGAUGAUCGUCCGGGCAUGGCUGCUGGGGGUAUGAAUGGCAGGAAUGUUGGUUUUGGUGGUGGAAUGCCAGAGCCUCCCCUUCCCCCAGAUGCCUCAAACACCUUGUUCAUUGAAGGCAUCCCUCCUGAUUGUGAACGCCGAGAAGUUUCUCAUAUCUUUCGACCAUUUGUUGGUUUUCAGGAGGUGAGACUUGUGAACAAAGAACCAAGACAUCCUGGUGGUGACCCAAUCGUCCUCUGUUUUGUUGAUUUCACUAAUGCUUCUCAAGCAGCUAUUGCCAUGGAAGCUUUGCAAGGCUAUAAGUUUGAUGAACAUGACCGCAGCUCACCUCAGCUGCGGCUGCAGUUUGCUCGUUUUAAGGGUCCAAGGGGGCAAGCAGGAGGACCUGGUGGUGGUGGCGGCGGCGGCGGUGGUAUUAGGCGUUAA